rnacentral:rRNA from 1 species
CCUACGGGGGGCUGCAGUGGGGGAUAUUGCACAAUGGGGGGAACCCUGAUGCAGCGACGCCGCGUGGGUGAAGAAGCGCCUCGGCGCGUAAAGCCCUGUCAGCAGGGAAGAAAAUGACGGUACCUGAAGAAGAAGCCCCGGCUAACUACGUGCCAGCAGCCGCGGUAAUACGUAGGGGGCAAGCGUUAUCCGGAUUUACUGGGGGUAAAGGGGGCGCAGACGGCGAUGCAAGCCAGGAGUGAAAGCCCGGGGGCCAACCCCGGGACUGCUCUUGGAACUGCGUGGCUGGAGUGCAGGAGGGGCAGGCGGAAUUCCUGGUGUAGCGGUGAAAUGCGUAGAUAUCAGGAGGAACACCGGUGGCGAAGGCGGCCUGCUGGACUGCAACUGACGUUGAGGCCCGAAGGCGUGGGGAGCAAACAGGAUUAGAUACCCGAGUAGUC